GCCCCCCACGCGGCCCCCGCGGCGGCCGUGCGCGCGCCCGGUUCCCUGCGCUCGGUGGGUUCGGCGGCCGCAGCGCGGUAUCCCUCCGCCGGGGUCGUCACCCCGGGGUCCGCGCCGGGACCUCCCCUCCGGCAGGGGGCGGGAGGGGCGAGAGAGGCCCGCGGGGCAGCGGCGCUCCGCGGGGGGCUCAAACGCUGGCCGGCCGCUGUGCCGGAGCCGCCUCUGCUCCUUUAAGAGGGGGCCGGGCCGGCGGUGACCCCGCGCGAUGUCCGCCUCUUCCUGGUUGCUAUAGUCACCGCCUUCCAGCGUCCCAAAAUGGCGCCGAGCCGCCCGCGGAGGCGUCCGAGGGUGCGUCUGGGCCCUGAGCGAGGACCGCCGGCGGCCGCUGUCACCUGGCGCGAGGGAAAGGCAAGAUGAGCUGCGCCUCAGGGUAGCUGGAUUUGAGAAAGAAAAUAGUCCAACAACUCGCACUAGGAGAAUAAAGCUAAAUUGUCUGUCGAGGGAAUAGGAAGACUGAAAACAGCCAAACGGUUUUCUUCUGGAGAUGAGGAAACUUGUCAGGUUUGCAAUCGAGAAAUUAAAGGGAGUGGGAGGUGGCAAACUGAAUUAAGCUGCUAGUCCAAAUAACCUGUGUUUUGUUUUUGUUUUAAUGUGCUCCUUCUCUUGGUUUCUCUCAUGCCACGUUUUUUAAAUUCAGUAGAGCCUGUAGAUGUUUCAGAAAGGUGGACAACGGAGGAGUGUAAUUUUAAUCUCCCCCAAAAUUUGUUUGAGGUAGAAGUUCCAGAGUAACUCCGGGGACCUCUAAGUUCCAAAAUGAAGAGUGGUUAUGGUGCUGCGCAACAGCUGAGAAAUGUGUUAUGUUUCAUAGCUGAAGUCUUGUAAUGGGCCUCCCCGAUGGACCUUGUGGCAAUCGUAUCAGUGCUGUGAUAUUUAUGGAGCAUUCAUUGAGUGCUCUGGGCUAUUUAACAUACACUUUUGCACUCAGCUAGUAAUCUAAAGCUCCAGCCUUGCACACAGUUGCAUGUACACUGAAUUUUCUACUUUGAUUAGUCCCAUUCUUCAAAGUCAAUGUUUUAGAAAUGAUGCAUAGUUUUUUUUAAGCUGAAAAAAAGUGUCCACAGCUCUAUGGUGUAUUUGUGUGAAGGCUUUUGUAUUUUUGUGAGCACAGCCCUACUUUGAAUUGGCUCUGUAAGCUUUACAUGAGCAGUAAAUUUGGCUCUUCGAUGGCAAAGUUAGUAAUUUGGGAAUGGUUUAUACAGCUUCAGAAUGUGUAGACCAGUAGUCAUGGGCAGGCAUUCCAGGUACCAGCUGACUAACAGCUCAAACUAUCCUGGAACAAGAAAUCCCUCUGCAAAUACAGAAAGCCUUAGGGAAGUUUUAGAGCAAAAAAAUACAGUUGAACAAAAGGCGGUCCUCGGUGGGGAGGAAACCAGUGCAUUGCAACAAGCUUUGUGUUCAGCCCUGUCAACACUGUUUUGUCCAGCUUUUUCCCCUCGCUCCAGGGAAUUGAAUUUUUUUUUCCAUUAUGCACCCUGGUAUACAAGGGAUGUUCUACAGACAGUUUUUCUGAAGUCUGCUACUGCCUCAUGGUCAGUACAGUAGGCUUAAGCUGUAUAAUUGAACAUAAGUGAAUUGAAAUUGCUACAAAUAAAAAUAAAGGAUAUCUCUGAAACCAGAGGUAAGUGUACACUAACAGAUUUGCUGAGCCUAAGCAGUGAAAACAGGAGGACAAAACAGGACAAAAAGUCCCUAGGCUGCGAUGCAGAGGUGUGCGUCUUUGGCUGUAAGCAUGUCAAUUACUGCAGAAAUAAUUCAGAAAACAUUAUUUUUCAAUACUGCUAUUUGCAAUAAUGGCAAGGUGUACUACUGCAUCUUUACUUGUCUUUAACUCGAACCUAGAGAAACUAGGACACGUGGAAAAAAGAAAACAAGGCCUGCUGCAGGCAAAUUAUAUAGGAAGCAGAUUGGAACAGAGGCUGUUCGAACUCUUUUUAACCAGUCAAAUGCAGCAGUAGUUGAAAAACAUUAGCAAGAAAUAUGCAUUUGUGUGGAUGUAUUUGUGCCCCAGGAGGCCCUGCUGCUAACUUCACCUUCUGCAACAAAACACAGCUUCCAUCCCAGAUAAAAAUUCAAUUUCAAUUAACAUUUCAAAUUUAGAGUCAGUAAGCAAAAUUUUCUAAACAAAAGUAUUGACUACUUACUAGCAAGCGUGAAUUUCUACUGAGAAGCCAGGAGGAGAAGAUUGCCAGGUAGCUUCUGUUUAAGCUAUUUGAAGGUGGAUACUGAAGGAGGAGACUUAUAAUUGACUGCAAAAAAAACUUUUCUCAAAAUAGACUGUACAGAAGCACAGGUCAAUAAGUAUUCGUGGUAUGCAGCUUAAAUAGCUAGAUUGUAUAGAAAAAGAUCUUUUGAACCAACAGUGAAAGUAUUUUAUUUUAGAUAGUCAUUUUAAGGCUGUAAUCAUAACUUCACAAAUGCAGGGAAACUAUUCUACACAUUCAUUCAGCAUGGGCAUUUAACAGUUCCACUGCAGAAAUAGAAAAAUGAAGAUUUCUGAAGUCCACAUUGUUCUGUCCAGCCACAUAAUAGAUCUUCACAGCAUAAAUGGGACUAGGUGCUCUUCAAAGGUAGUGAGGCUUUUUUCUUUGCUUUGCUACUUAAUACAGAACAACUGUUCCACUUAAUCAUUUCUCUACCAGGUAAAACAUGCAGUGAUACAGAUAAAUUUGCAAGUUUAUUUUGUGGGGUGAUGUCCUUUGGCUUAAAUAGUACCAUUGUAUGUAGGUAGCAGUGUGUGUACAUACAAGAUUGGUCUUUUCUUUUUUCAUUUCAGUAAAUAUUCUCUCUUGACAGUAUUGUUUUGUUUUUUCAUUUUCCACUUAUGAAACAAUCUACUUCCUGGUCACUGCAGUAUCUUUCCUGUGCAUUUCUUCCUAUUAGAACUUUUAUUGUAAGCAAGAGGUCUUUUGAAAGCCUGGUGCAAAGGCAUUGUUAUUUGCUUCGUCUUCUGGAAAAUUGUGUCAUUUUAAGAUCAUAUUUGACUUCCUGUGCCAAAAUCACAUUGCUGGCUUGAUUGUCAUUUGAUCAAUUAUUAUCCCAAUGUCUGUCUUCCCAUUGUCAGUUUCCAGCUCAACCUUUUGGCUAAUUGCAGAAAUUAUUCCUAAAUGAAUGACCUUGCCAUUAGAAUUUUCACUUUCAUUUUUCUCCCCCAGCAGCCUUUUGAGUUUGUUAUGGAAAGGUUGCUGUACAUGUCAGGAAAAAUGUACUACAGAGAGAACAGAUUUGGCCAUAAAAUCUCUGUAUAUACAAGAAAUUCUGGUAAAGUUUAUGGAAACAGUGGAUAAUUCUGAUUUUGUGUGUGCACAACGUAUAGAAUGGGAAUUUUUUGUCUUGAGGCUACCAUCAAGAUGGCAACUUGUUUAACAUGCCUUUCUAGCUACCUUUCAUUGUGCAUGUUCUUCAAUCAUUUUUGAAAUGCCAAAUUAAUAUUUGAUAUGCCUGUUAUAAUUUGGCAAGGUAGGUCACCAACAAUAGACAUUAUCUGUUUGUACAAAGCAGGCACUAAGCCAUAUUGCUUCCAAUGCUGAACAUAAAAUCACUCCAGAUAACCACAUAAGUAACCUUUCAAAAUAAAAUUUCUUAUCAGUGAUCUUACAGUUGACAAGUACAGACUGUAAAAAUUGCAAGAGAGGAAUCCAGAUGGUAGGGUAGUAUGGAAAAGGUCUGUCACUCAUGUAACAAGCUAUAGAGACCAAAAAAAUUCUUAAUCUGCUUAUAGGACAGGCUGAUAACUGGAAAGAUGAAGCUGGUAACAAAAGAAACAUAAUGAGAAAAUGAUCUACUCAAUGUGUAAUUAAUACUAGCAUCUGUCACCUUCUCACAAACGCUGCACUAAUCAGAGGAUUUUGUCAUGUUACUAAAAUGUUUAGAAACUUAACCUGUAAAAUAAUGGAAUCAGAUGUAUAUAAAAUUUGUGUUGUUUUGUGCAGUAUUCUAUACAUGAUCUGCUUGUGUAGUGGGAUAGCUGAAUUUUAUUGAAUGUGUGAUUGCAGAAUUGUAUGUACGGUCAGACAUCACCAGCUAGACUCUGUAACAAAUACAUACAGGGCAUGUGGAUGUGCAAAUAGUGCAAGUAACACUAGGCAAACAAUUCUGACGACUGUUCUUGUUCUAUACCCAUCAUUGCUCCUUUUGUCUGUUGUUCAUUUCUGCAUCUUAAGUUGGUUUCUGAUUAAAUCAAUGCAUUCUGAGCACAACGUAUUAUUUUGAAUGCUGUGAGUAGCACAAUAUUUUCUUAAAGUAACAAUCUUGUAAUUAAUUGUUUUCUGGAACUUUUAGUGCUAAAUAGAAAUUCCGAACCUGCAGCACUUAAUCUCAAAAGCCAUUUGAAACUGCUUUUCAAUAAACAAUGUUAAUAAAGAUUUGAAAAAUAAAAAUUAAAAAAUAGCAUCGUCAAUAACAUUUCAUAUUGCUGUUCUACCUUGAGCUUGUUGAGCUUGUUGGUAAAUCUUAAUGCUGACACUUGGUGUAUAAUCUGUUUGAUUAACAGAAGAUGUCACUUUGAAGUGCUUAAGCAAAAUGGAUUGGUGGGGAAAAAAAAAAAAAGAA